GCGCAGGCAGUGCUCGCGGCGGCGGCGACGGCGGCGGGAGGUUCGGUUGUCGCCCGUUGGCCGCGCGGCGCCGCGCUCGGCGGCCGCCAUUGCAGCUUGUUUUCACUUGCUUUUUAAAGACAGAAAGCUCAUGGUGCAAAUUGUUAUUUCCAGUGCGAGGGCUGGAGGCCUGGCAGAAUGGGUGCUGAUGGAGCUACAGGGGGAGAUCGAGGCUCGCUACAGCACUGGAUUAGCUGGAAACCUCCUGGGAGACCUACAUUACACCACUGAGGUGAGGGGGCUUUUCUUUCCCUGCCUAAUGCCUCAGGAAAGCAAGCUACACCAAGGUGGUGCUCCCAGGACCCAGAGUGAGGACUGCCUCAGGUUUGUUAUUCAAGGCCUAGCUAAUCUGCGAUGCUCUCUGCUUGUUCUCCCCCUACCUCUGCAGUAGCAGGGAAAUUUAAUUUUGGGGAAUCUGGAAAGCUCACAUUUCUGAAAGUGGAAAUUCUCCUAUGUGGGGCUAGAAAGUAAAAAGGGCACAUGGGUGGGUGGUCCAGUGUGGCUGCUCAACAAUGGCAGAGCCAGACCAGGGAUUGGAGGUGCCAGCAUAGCCUGCCAAGAGCAGCUUUAGGAGGCGCCUGAGUGUUAUGGCCUUGCCCCGGAACCUCAGGAAUCUCGUUCUUGUUCUGCCAAAGGGAAUCCCUGUGCUGAUCGUGGGGCAUCAUAUCCUGUAUGGGAAAAUCAUCCACCUGGAGAAACCUUUUGCAGUCCUUGUCAAACACACUCCUGGGGAUCAGGACUGUGAUGAGCUUGGCCGCGAGACUGGCACCCGGUACCUGGUGACAGCACUCAUCAAAGACAAGAUCCUUUUCAAAACCCGCCCC
rnacentral:lncRNA from 1 species